GACGAACGCUGGCGGCGUGCUUAACACAUGCAAGUCGAACGCUGAAGACCUGGCUUUUGUUGGGUUGGAUGAGUGGCGAACGGGUGAGUAACACGUGAGUAACCUGCCCUCUUCUUUGGGAUAACGCCCGGAAACGGGUGCUAAUACUGGAUAUUCACUGAUCUUCGCAUGGGGGUUGGUGGAAAGGUUUGUUCUGGUGGGGGAUGGGCUCGCGGCCUAUCAGCUUGUUGGUGGGGUGAUGGCCUACCAAGGCUUUGACGGGUAGCCGGCCUGAGAGGGUGACCGGUCACAUUGGGACUGAGAUACGGCCCAGACUCCUACGGGAGGCAGCAGUGGGGAAUAGUGCACAAUGGGCGAAAGCCUGAUGCAGCGACGCCGCGUGAGGGAUGGAGGCCUUCGGGUUGGAAACCUCUUUCGCUCAUGGUCAAGCCGCAACUGUGGGUUGUAGUGAGGGUAGUGGGUAAAGAAGCGCCGGCUAACUACGUG
rnacentral:rRNA from 1 species